CAAAGGGCAGCUGGGGAGACAAAAGGCAUAGAUGGCUUCUUGAGUAUCUUUGGCUUCGGAUCCGAGGCCGAGGAGAAGAGCUGUCCACCUCAUGAGAUCUUGGAGGGAAACGAUUGUAUUUAAAAUGUCAGUGCUUCGGAGAAAUGUCAGCUUCACCAACCCCUCACUCUCUAAUGCGCCACACUAAGAGGUCUGACUGUAUUUCUCGAGGUAAUGCAAAAACUGAGAGGUUGAUACGAAAACCAGGGGCUCCUUCCACCUCUCCUGGACCCUCAGGUCACGUUGGAAAGCAUUUUCACAAGGUACGAACUGGAAUUUCUCAUCUCUCCCACAUUCCUGCUUGUUUUUAAACCUCAUGAAGCUCUUUUUCCAGCCUGUGGGCUAUUUCUUGCCCCAGUAAAGAAGAAUCUUAGUUGCUAUCAUCCCACGGAGACUGGGUUUAUAGAAAAAGAGAUUGCCAUGGCCUACAGACCUUUUCCCAACAAAUUUGGAAAGGCCCUGGCUUUAAAACACACACGCUUGUGCGCACACACGCACACACACAAAUACACACAGGGAGUGAAGGAAC